AACCUUAAGGGGGCUUAUCACAGGCUGUUUUUACAAUGAUUGUACAGAAAAAGGAGGCAAAAUAAAUCCACUCAUAUACACCAUUGCCCAGACCCUUUGCCUGUAUUGUGAAUGGGGGGACAUGG